rnacentral:misc_RNA from 1 species
UAUUAUUUCAUUUCAUUAAUACGUUAAUUAGAUACAAUGAUUAGCAUCACAAUCAUACCCCUGCAUUGUUAACAGCUUCUCAUCCCAAUUUAACUUUUAAGAUAUUCAAAAGGUACAAAAACAAAAAUCAUCCUUCCGCCAUCUGAAACCAAAUUCACAAAAAGAUAAGAGUAGGAGAAUUUCCAGAGAUUACUCCGGAAUCGCUACUAACUAAUAACUUAAAGACAGGUAAACAAAAUGUUCAGCAAUUGACCUCAGCGAGGCCUGAAUUUCAGUUUCCGCAGAGAACUGUUAGUCAUUCAACUCUGAUAAAGAAAACUCUCCACCAUUGCAAGCAUUCACUUUUAGAUGGGACUCAGAUAAUUAGCAAAUCUACCUUCUGCGGCGGUGCUGAGUUCACUGGGAAGCUUGGAGACAAGGCAAGCAGAAGCAAUCGCAUUAUGGAGGGGCAAAAGUGAGCUCAAUUCUCGCCGAACAAACCUUCCAAUUGGAGAAGGAGUGGAAAUUCGGGACUGGCGGAGAGUCAAACUGGUACAAGUCCAUGAACGUAUCAAAGUUGAUACAGGGAUUCUUGUGGUUGCUGAUUCCAUUGCAUUAGUGGCUCUCCAUGUUGCACGCAUCAAUUUAGAGGUGGAUCUCCCUGCAAUUGCCCAAGCUGCCAUUUUUUUUCUCUUUCUGUAUCCAUGUUAACUAAAACCUCUAUAAAACCCCAUUUCCAAUUCCCCGUCUCAGGAGCCAUUAUCUGAGUCCAACCCAAUCAACCAGCUUUAUUUUAUUUUUUUUGUUUUACAACUUUUCUAAUUUAAGCCUGAAUUUAGACUUCACCGUCAAUAUAAUCCAUCAGUAACAAUAUCUGAAUUUUAAUAAAAAAAAAAUAUAAAAUUGAAAUAUACUUACCUACAUCUCAGCCUAUUAUUUAAAAUCACAAUAAAUUCUAAAUAACAAGUCUUUUUUAAAAUUAUAAUAUAUAAUUGAGCACUUAAAUACUGUACAUUAUGAUCACUGCCAGUUUGAGGAUGCCUGUAAUUUAAUGCUAAAUUAUCAAUUUCAAGUUAAUAUUGACACUAGAUGUUCACCAUUAAAAUUCUUCAUCAUCUACUGUUGAUCUUGUAAUGGGUAUAGACCAUCUUCCCAAGUGAGCAGUGUAAUUUAUGCACCGGAUGACCCCUCUUCCAGUAGCUCCAUCAGGGAAGUCCAAGACACUAAUACUCCCAGCGUCGAGAUGAAAUGAUCCCAUCCAGUCCUUGGUCAGAUUCAGGCAGUGUGACACCAGUGCUAUGUGCAUUGCAGGAUGACCAACUAUGACAACAAUCUUUUCUGGCUCAGAUUCAUCAGAUAACUCAUUCAACAAAGAUUUCCAGGCUUUCCCAGACCGAUCCCAGAGAGCUAAAAGUGCCUCAUCCUCAAAUCUAUUCAAAAAACCAGACUGAUAUGCCACUGCCUCAUUUGCAUCCUAUGGAAAUUACAAAUAAGUACACUGAAAGUAAGCUAAAAUACUCCAUUCUCCCAAUGCCCCUAUAAAAAAAAUAAAUAAAUAAAGCCAAAAUAGGGGAAUCUUGGUUCCUCAUCUUUAAUUUGCAUCAACACAUUGGAAAGCAUUGACAUCAUGCAUGCAUUCAUCUGAGACUAUGGCGCCCUAGUACUUGGCAUGCCAGCUAGUUUCAAUUUACACUUGCAAUUCAAAUAGGCAAAUAUUAGGUUAUCAUAAGCACAGAAACCCACAUCAUAGAUAUUCACAAAAAGGAAAAAAAAAAUUUUGUGAAUAUUCUAUAUCUUCACCAUGAAAUAGUAGACAGAAGACAAAAAUCGCUCCCACAAAAAAUUACUCAAAUUAAAGUAUCCAUAAAUUUGUCUUGAUAUUCUUGCCUUAUUCGAUUGAUGUAGGAUGUCUCCGACAUCAAGGUCCUCCAUUUUUUUCAUUUCUACAUAUCGUGGCACACAAUCAGCACCCAAACAAUCUGCUGCUUCUUGCACUCUGGAGAUGGCCAUGGCUGUCUCAAAACAAGCAUUCUUAGGGCUGCUGACUAUAGUGUUUACUUUAAGAUCAAGAAGAAGCUCUGCAGUUUUCUGGGACUGUAUAAUUCCUAGCAUAUUCAUUGGCUGAUCCCCAGAAUUAGGAAAAUGAGCCUGUGAAACAUUGAAAGGGAUUGAUCGUAACCCAUAUAUUUAUAAAGACAAACCAAAAUGGCAGUACAAUAUUAGAUAAGGUUGCAUUGACUCUCCAUGAAUCAUAUUUAACUGAACGCAACAUGAUGUUCUCAUACUCAAUGCAGUACAAGUUUAAUUACUGAUUUUCAUGAAAAGAGAAAACCAAUUCACUCCUACAUCAUAGAUAAGCCACUACUCUUCUUUAUGUGCUUCCAGUGCAUGCCUGCUUAUGCAUUUUCAGAGUAAACACAAUUUUAAGCCAGUGACUGUUCCAAAUCCAAAACCAAUUUAAAGACUGAUUAGCUUCCCUUGACAAUCAAACCUAAAUCUAAUAAACAUAACUAAGAAAAAAGGUGAACUUGACAUAAGCAAAAACAAAUUAAACAUUGCUUUGGGAUGGUUUCAAACCUCUGUAUCACCCUGCAAGGUUCCAUGACAAACAAGUAUGAUCUGCCUACUGGUUUUUCUGCCCCCAGAACUUCCAGCAGCAACAGGUGAACUCGGUGUCUGAUUCAAACGAUUAAGACAUAUAUAGGGCGACCCACCCUCAGCUCGCGGGGUGAAAUCCAGCACACUCACACCACAAUUGCUCUGAAGUAAAAUCCUGAAAUACUCAGUUCCCAAUCCAAUAGCUGUUGCAACCAAAGCCUGAUUAACAGCAUUGUGAGCAACCACAAGAACAGACCUGCUAUCAUGGGAUAGGAUUUGAUUCCAGCAGUUUCUAGCUCUCGCCCACAAUUCCCUCACUGGGUAAUGUCCAUCAAUGUUGAAAUUUGCAGCGUCUACCUGCCAUUGACGAUAAGCUGCACCAAACUUCGCCUUCCCCUCAUGCUUUAGAAGGCCUUGAAAGGAAUAGAGGUCGAUCUCUCUCAAAUCAGAAUCUGUAACGAUUUCCUCCUUGCGAGAUCCCCAAAUGAUUUCAGCUGUUCGUUUCGAUCGAAUCAAUGGGCUACUGAAGCAGACAUCGAAGGAAUCAUCAAUAAGCAUCUGACGCGAGGUCUCAGCCUGAGCCUCGCCUUUCUGAGUCAAAACCGAUAAGUUAGAGCUUCCUUGGAUCCUUCCUUCAGCGUUCCACGUGCUCUGCCCAUGGCGCACCAAGACUACUCGUUUAGCCGCUUUAAUCGAAGGAAACGGCGCCGAAGAGUAAAGCUCGGAGCUCAAUUCUCUAUCUUGCGGAGCUUUCUCGACCUCUUGGACGGUAGAAGAAGAGCGGACUGUGAAGCUUCUAUGGCGGAAGACCAGACGGUUGUGGAAGGGAAGAGAGGGUGAGAGUGAAAACAUUUUUCCUUCUUUUUUUUG